ACACCCAAAAUAUUUACUACUCUUUAUUUCUACUUUUUAUUUUCCUUUACUCUCUUCGUAAGAUUUUAGUAUUAUGUCUUUAUUUUAUAAUAAAAGUUGAUUUUUAAAAUAUGGUAUAUUUUUUCUAGUAUAGUUUCUAGAAUAGUUAUGUAACAAUUCUUUUGGUCGUUUUGAAUAUUAGAAUUUUUUAUUUCAUAAAUAUUUUUUCGAUAGAUUUUAAAUGAUUGUUUUGGACUAUUCAUAAUUAUAAUUAUGAAAUUAGUGGGAUAGUUUUAAUAAUUGAGUUAGUUGGGGGUUAAAGGAGAUAACUUUAAAAUUAAUAGUGGAUCGCUUUUAUAAUAGUAUACAAUUAGGGUGACAACUAAUCUGUAGAAAAGAAGAAAUAUAGACGCAUAAAAACCAAGUGAGAGGAAGGUUUACCUGUGCGGCUACACCAAAGAUCAAUUUGGAGUUCUUUUAGUGAGUUGAGGAACGUGCUGAUCGGGCAGUUGACAAUUUGUUAUAUGAAAAUGAUUGGAAAGAUUCGGAGGCAAUAAGGAAAGGAAAGACAUUGGAGAAGUAGUUACUUGACUUCAAUUCUUCGGUGGAGUGCAACAAGUGUACCAUUGACUACGACUCGCCCUCAUCUCUAACCAGUCUCCAGCACAUCAGAGUUCAGGAUCUAUGAUGAUGGGAGUUAUAUAGCUGAAAAUUUAAUAGGAGUUUCAAGUUUGAUGUGAUUGAGAUUGACUUCAACUCUAUACCUUGAUUUUUCGGUAUCAAUGCGGCGUUGCUCAGGCGUUAAACCGUUGCUUGAAGCUCCGAGGAAGAAAGGAUUAUAGUUUGCAAAAUUGUUCUAUAACUUUUUUUUUCUUUUGAUUUUGUUAGUUUUAAUUUUUCAUUUGAUUUGAGUGUUUUAGUUUGACUUUUUUUUUUUGAAAAAAUCAAAACAAAUAAAGAAAAAAAAUGAAAAGAAUAUUAAAAAUAUUUUUUUUAAUGUUAAUCAUUGGUCUUCACUCUCUCAAAGCGAGUGAAAUACACUCACUUUGCCACACAAUCAUUUAAGGAGGUAAUAAUUUUAAUUUUAGUUUUAAAUAGUUAGGGAGGUAAUAGGAUCCCCGUAGAGUAUAAGUGUGUAGCUGAAAAUUCGGUAAUAGGUUGGGAGGUCAUUUGACCAUUUUCUCUAUAAAGUUUAAUCUACUCUCUAGACCUCUCCAGUAGAAGCUGUUGAUCCUCUUGUUGGUACAUGGAGUGAUAUAAUCGACAUUUCAAUUUGGUUGUAGUUUUGUAA